UACGUAGGGUCCGAGCGUUGUCCGGAAUUAUUGGGCGUAAAGAGCUCGUAGGCGGCCGUUCGCGUCGGAUGUGAAAAGCUCAGGCUCAACUCUGAGACGCCAUUCGAUACGGGACGGCUAGAGGUAGGUAGGGGAAAGUGGAAUUCCUGGUGUAGCGGUGAAAUGCGCAGAUAUCAGGAGGAACACCGGUGGCGAAGGCGGCUUUCUGGGCCUUACCUGACGCUGAGGAGCGAAAGCUGGGGGAGCGAACGGG
rnacentral:rRNA from 1 species